rnacentral:rRNA from 1 species
AUUGAACGCUGGCGGCAUGCCUUACACAUGCAAGUCGAACGGUAGCAUGUCCUUCGGGAUGAUGACGAGUGGCGAACGGGUGAGUAAUAUGUAGGAAUAUACCUAUAGGUGGGGGAUAACUACUCGAAAGAGUAGCUAAUACCGCAUAAUAUCUACGGAUUAAAGCAGGGGAUCGCAAGACCUUGUGCCAAUAGAAUAGCCUACAUCCGAUUAGCUAGUUGGUAGAGUAAAAGCCUACCAAGGCAACGAUCGGUAGCUGGUCUGAGAGGAUGAUCAGUCACACUGGAACUGAGACCCGGUCCAGACUCCUACGGGAGGCAGCAGUGGGGAAUUUUGCGCAAUGGGGGGAACCCUGACGCAGCAACGCCGCGUGAGUGAUGAAGGCUCUUGGGUCGUAAAGCUCUGACAGAGGGAAAGAAGUGUACUGUGGUUAAUACCCGCGGUACUUGACGGUACCCUCAAAGGAAGCACCGGCUAACUCCGUGCCAGCCGCCGCUGUAAGAC